GAGUUUAGGUUUCUCUUCAGAUCAUAUAAAUCUUUCACCUUUUACUAAAUAUUUCAGUGGAGAUGAGCAUUUUAAAGAGUUUUUGCUGAAUUUUUUGAGGCUUUACUUCAAUAGGAUU